UUGGCGAGUUACCGCAGAAAUGC
rnacentral:piRNA from 1 species